UGGAUCCAGACUUUGAUUCUGGCUCAGGAUGAACGCUAGCUACAGGCUUAACACAUGCAAGUCGAGGGGAAACGACAUCGAAAGCUUGCUUUUGAUGGGCGUCGACCGGCGCACGGGUGAGUAACGCGUAUCCAACCUGCCCACCACUUGGGGAUAACCUUGCGAAAGUAAGACUAAUACCCAAUGAUAUCCCUAGAAGACAUCUGAAAGAGAUUAAAGAUUUAUCGGUGAUGGAUGGGGAUGCGUCUGAUUAGCUUGUUGGCGGGGUAACGGCCCACCAAGGCGACGAUCAGUAGGGGUUCUGAGAGGAAGGUCCCCCACAUUGGAACUGAGACACGGUCCAAGCUCCUACGGGAGGCAGCAGUGAGGAAUAUUGGUCAAUGGGCGAGAGCCUGAACCAGCCAAGUAGCGUGCAGGAUGACGGCCCUAUGGGUUGUAAACUGCUUUUAUAAGGGAAUAAAGUGAGUCUCGUGAGACUUUUUGCAUGUACCUUAUGAAUAAGGACCGGCUAAUUCCGUGCCAGCAGCCGCGGUAAUACGGAAGGUCCGGGCGUUAUCCGGAUUUAU
rnacentral:rRNA from 1 species